rnacentral:lncRNA from 1 species
UAGUCGAGUGGAUACUGAUUCGUGGUGGACGGAAAGUCGUCUUGAUUGUGUCCAAUCAGAUUGGAGGAACCAAAAAACUGAACGAUUUGAUCAAUAAAUAUGGAGCUCAGCUCUUGAUAUCUUCAAUUAAAAAGAUCAACUCAGGCACGAGACGGCCUCUUUGAUGGAUCAGAUUAAAAAACUUCGUCCGGUCCCUAUUUUAUUCAACAUCUUUAUGGACGAGAGACUGACAUUACACAUAGCAUCCUUCCUUCCGCAUCCUCACCAAAUAGUCAACGUAGCUCGCACUCAGGACUCUAUCCAAAGCAAAAAUGGAAGAAGUGGCAAUAUUCAAAAGGGCACCAGUCGCAUGUGCGUCAUAUGUGAGGACGGGGAGUCGUACUUGCAGCUUUUGGACCAAGCGCUGAUAAAUAAUACUGAUCCGAAAAUUGACUCGAUCUACUCAAUCAACGACAGUUCUAAAAAGUCAAAAAAACAAACCAUUCCAAUACGCGAGUACUUACCAAAAUCUUUCGAGGAGCUAGAGGAGAUAGGAAAGUGUGCAGAAUCUUUCCCGAAGCCACCAAUGACUCCAAUCAACGACUCAACGGUUGAUUCCACCGAUGUUGCAACCGAUGCUCCGUCCGAUUCCGACAAGAGCUCACCGUCAGACACUGAAAAUACGCCUACCAAUAUACCCCCAUGCGCUGCGUUCGAGGAGAUUCACACAUUGACUUGGCGCCAAAAAUAUCAACGGGAAAUUUUACCGGUGUACCUCAUCAGUAGCUCUGUAAAAAAAUUCACCCCAAUCCAGAAGAAACUGUUGUACCCACUGUACUAUGCCAAAUUUUCGGAACAGAUACCGUCAGCGGCGGAGGCUGCUAAACAUUUAUGCAUUUCCAUCUGUACCAUUCAACCCAAAGGACCAUGCACUAUCAUAACAGAAACUUGGAAUAUACCAAUUGCUAUGGAGCUCAUUAAAAAAUUGAAAGAAUGUCACCGACAAGCUUAUCUAACUAUUCUACCUAUUAGCCAAAAGAGUUUACUCUCUUUACUUCCAGAGGAAGAAAAACUGGAAGACAUCGUGCUACGAAAUAUACUGCAGUUAUCUUUAAAGGAAUAUGAAAACCAAUACUCAGAGAUGGAUAUCGAAACGAAAGUGGCUGAAAUUCGUAGCAAGACUAAUUUCAAAUUCGAGGAAAACACAGUUCUUGUUGGCCUCACUAUUUUCAUGAAACAGAUGGAGUUCUUUUUGGAAGCGCCCUUACCCAAUAAACUGUUGGACUGUCCAAUUUUGGUGGUCGAGAUGGAGACAAACAUUGUUAAUCAGGCUGAUUAUGUGAAGAUAUCGACAGGAAUGUCUCGGUGUUUAAAAGCUCAACGACUUCUUACAAGGAAUUACUGUCGGAUCCAGCACUGAUCAAAGAACUUAAUGAACGACAACUGUUCUCGUGGCUGCAGGAAAAAGAGAUUGCAUCAAAAUAAUGUUUCAAAAACGCACCAGUCGUCAGCUGAUGUUAACUAAUAUCUAAAUUUAGAUAAUUUUGUAGUUAUUAGAACUUUAAAACUUUUUAAACUUUUUUUGAAAAACUCACGCUUUCACUAAUUGGUUAUUUCCCGUAAAAUAAUUUUUUUUCGGAAAAUAACCAAUUAGUGAAAGCGUGAGUUUUUCAAAAUUAUUUAAAAAAGUUUUGAUACAGCUUUUACUGUUUUUAAAAAUUUCGAUUAUUUUAUUAAAAAUUAUUAGAACUUUCUUGCAAUUUAGACCAGUAUUUUUUUAGCUUUUUUCACACAAGCCAGAGGAAAUUUAAGAGAAAAGAUGACUGAAUUCCACCGCCUUUUUCAUUUUUUUUCCGUCAUUUUUUAAAUUAAGCAAGGCUAACAAAAUAAUGGAAAAAAAACUAUCCGCAGAAUUAUUUUGUCUAAAUUUAAAAAAAAAUUAUUGGCGCAUUGUUUUGUAGUAACAAUUUUAAUAUGCAUUUUAAAACCUUUAAAUUAUGACUUAAAUUCUAUUUGUUUAUUCUAGUAAAGUGACAACCUUCCAUGUUUUAUAAAUAAACCGUAUACUUCAGCAUGACCAAGUUGCUUUUGCUUCUUUCUAAUUUUAUCAAUACUUGCAUGCAAGCAGGAAUACACUGAUUUAGUGGCUACGUUUUUCGAUAUAAUAUCGAAAUAUUGAUUCAACCCGAAACAAACUAACAUAACCUCAUGUGCGAAUCCUUCAUGAGUUAAUUGUGUUAAUUGGUUACAAUUUAGUUAUUGACCGGUCCUAAAUCAAUU